AUAUCAAUAAGCGGAGGAAAAGAAACCAACAGGGAUUGCCCUAGUAACGGCGAGUGAAGCGGCAACAGCUCAAAUUUGAAAUCUGGCGCAAGCCCGAGUUGUAAUUUGUAGAGGAUGCUUCUGGCCAGCGGCCGUUCUAAGUUCCUUGGAACAGGACGUCAUAGAGGGUGAGAAUCCCGUAUGUGACCGGCGCGCAGCCUUUACGUAGCUCCUUCGACGAGUCGAGUUGUUUGGGAAUGCAGCUCUAAAUGGGAGGUAAAUUUCUUCUAAAGCUAAAUACCGGCCAGAGACCGAUAGCGCACAAGUAGAGUGAUCGAAAGAUGAAAAGCACUUUGGAAAGAGAGUUAAAAAGCACGUGAAAUUGUUGAAAGGGAAGCGCUUGCAACCAGACUUCGUAGCGAUGUUCCGCCGGUCUUCUGACCGGUCUACUCAUCGUCGCGAGGCCAACAUCGUCUGGGGCCGCCGGAUAAGACCUAAGGAAUGUAGCUUCCCUCGGGAAGUGUUAUAGCCUUUGGUGAUGCGGCGCGUCUCGGGCGAGGUCCGCGCUUCGGCAAGGA
rnacentral:rRNA from 1 species